UGAUGUUUUCGAACAAGAAUUUCUUAUUUCCAUUAUCGCUCGUAGGAUUAACUUGCACAUUUGCACUGGGCGCUAACAAAGACAUUGUGAAGAUCAACCAAGAGUUGGAUAUACUUCAAGCACCUCGUACGUCAAUGCCGGGCCUAAAGUACUGCGUUGACGUCGGAUUCCGAUGCACUUUCCGGAAAUGCUGCCCACCUUAUGGCUGUGCUCCCCCUAUAUAUCGGUGCAUAGUACCGUAGCCUCUAUUCAAUGAUACGGAAGUGACGUGUUGAAUACGCAACAACGGGCCUCCAAACUUGUGUAAUAGACUGU